UAUAUUUUUAACAGCCGCGGUACUCUGACCGUGCAAAGGUAGCAUAAUCAUUUGCCUUAUAAUUGAAGGCUAGUAUGAAUGGUUUGACGAGAAUUAAGCUGUCUCUUUUCAAUUAAAUAUAAUUUUAUUAACAGGUGAAGAAGCCUGUGUGUUAUUGAAAGACAAGAAGACCCUAUCGAGCUUUAAGAAAUUCAAUAGAUUUAUUAUAUAUUUAUAUAAAUAUAAAACUAUUGAAAACUUUGGUUGGGGCGACUGAGGAACAAAAAAAGCUUCCUUUAUAUCUUUAGAACCUACAAGUAUUGAUCCAAUAAAUUUGAUUAAAGGAAUUAGUUACCGUAGGGAUAACAGCAUAAUCUUCUUUGAGAGUUCUUAUCGAAAAGGAGGUUUGUGACCUCGAUGUUGGACCAGAAUACCCAGAAGAUGCAGCCGUCUUCAAUGGUUGGUCUGUUCGACCAUUAAAAUUCUACGUGAUCUGAGUUCAGACCGGCGUGAGCCAGGUCAGUUUCUAUCUUCAAUUUUUAUAGUAACCUUAGUACGAAAGGACCAGGCUAUUACAAGAACAAGUUGUUGAUUUAUGAUCAAAUAUAAAAAAUGAUUUAUUGUGUAGUUUAUAUCAAAUUAGCAAAGACUAAUGCAAUUGACUUAGGAUCAAUAGACAUAGGUGAAAUCCCUUUAUUUGAUAAAAUAAAGAUGGCAGAGAAA
rnacentral:rRNA from 1 species